rnacentral:rRNA from 1 species
GACGAACGCUGGCGGCGUGCCUAACACAUGCAAGUCUACGAGAAAGGGGUAGCAAUAUCCCGAGUACAGUGGCGCACGGGUGAGUAACGCGUAGGCAAUUUGCCUUGGGGACGGGGAUAAUUCAUCGAAAGGUGGACUAAUACCCGAUGACGCAUCGGAGUCGCCUGGCUCUGAUGUCAAAGGUCCGAAAGGAUGCCCCUUGAUAAGCCUGCGUCCCAUUAGGUAGUUGGCGGGGUAAUAGCCCACCAAGCCGACGAUGGGUAGCUGGUCUGAGAGGAUGAUCAGCCACACUGGAACUGAGACACGGUCCAGACUCCUACGGGAGGCUG